AUGCUGAGAAUUGAUAUUGCCACACCAAUCACCACAAUAAUGCAGAAUUUGAAGAAGAAAUAUGGAGUAGAGAUCUCAACCCAUAUGGCCUAUAGGGCUAGGAAACAAGCAUUGAAGGUUGUCCAAGGAGACCAGAGAGGUCAAUACACUAGGAUUAGAGAUUAUUUGCAGGCUGUUUUGGACACAAACCCAGGAAGUAGAUGUGUUGUGACCACUAAGCAUUUGCCACAGCACCGAAGCAAGAACCCAAGGUUCCAUGGCCUGUUCUACUGUCUUAAUGCUUGCAAAGAAGGGUUUUUAAAUGGAUAUAGGCCAUUCAUAGGGGUAGAUGGUUGUUUUAUCAAGCUGUCAACAGGUCAGCAGAUCCUUGCUACAACAGCAAGGGAUGGAAACAACAACAUAUACCCUAUAGCAUUUGGAGUUGUUGACAAAGAGGACACGGACAACUGGACCUGGUUCUUAACACAACUGAAAGAUGCACUUGGUGGAGAAAGUGGAAAGUUUGGGUAUUAUACUAUCAUUUCUGAUAGGCAGAAGAGCCUUUUAAAUGCAAUAAACCAUGUUUUCCCCAAUUGUCCACAAGAUUCUGCCUUAGACACAUUUAUCAGAAUUUCCAAACUGCUGGUUUUAGAGGUGAUGAAUUAA
rnacentral:rRNA from 1 species